rfam:Pediculus humanus corporis strain TSDA 1103172094918, whole genome shotgun sequence.
AAAACGGCCCUUUUCAGGGCCAAAAAAACACGACACGUACGAUACU